UACGUAGGCUCCAAGCGUUGUUCGGAAUUACUGGGCGUAAAGCGAGUGUAGGCGGUCCGUCAAGUCGGUUGUGAAAUCUCCUGGCUCAACUGGGAGGGUGCGACCGAAACUGGCGGACUAGAGUCUGGGAGAGGAGAGUGGAAUUCCUGGUGUAGCGGUGAAAUGCGUAGAUAUCAGGAGGAACACCGGUGGUGAAGACGGCUCUCUGGACCGGUACUGACGC
rnacentral:rRNA from 1 species